rnacentral:rRNA from 1 species
GUGAGUAACGCGUGGGAAUCUACCCAACUCUACGGAAUAACUCAGGGAAACUUGUGCUAAUACCGUAUACGCCCUUCGGGGGAAAGAUUUAUCGGAGUUGGAUGAGCCCGCGUUGGAUUAGCUAGUUGGUGGGGUAAAGGCCUACCAAGGCGACGAUCCAUAGCUGGUCUGAGAGGAUGAUCAGCCACAUUGGGACUGAGACACGGCCCAAACUCCUACGGGAGGCAGCAGUGGGGAAUAUUGGACAAUGGGCGCAAGCCUGAUCCAGCCAUGCCGCGUGUGUGAUGAAGGCCUUAGGGUUGUAAAGCACUUUCACCGGAGAAGAUAAUGACGGUAUCCGGAGAAGAAGCC